AUGUAUGUGCAAGUAUACUAAAAUUAAAACGAUACAGAGAAGAUUAGCAUUACCCCUGCACAAGAAUGAGAAGCAAAAUAAUGAAAAAAAUCUUAUUUCG